AUUGAACGCUGGCGGCAGGCCUAACACAUGCAAGUCGAGCGAGCGGCGGACGGGUGAGUAAUGUCUGGGAAACUGCCUGAUGGAGGGGGAUAACUACUGGAAACGGUAGCUAAUACCGCAUACCAUCAGAUGUGCCCAGAUGGGAUUAGCUAGUAGGUGGGGUAACGGCUCACCUAGGCGACGAUCCCUAGCUGGUCUGAGAGGAUGACCAGCCACACUGGAACUGAGACACGGCCCAGACUCCUACGGGAGGCAGCAGUGGGGAAUAUUGCACAAUGGGCGAAAGCCUGAUGCAGCCAUGCCGCGUGUGUGAAGAAGGCCUUCGGGUUGUAAAGCACUUUCAGUGGGGAGGCGUUACCCACAGAAGAAGCACCGGCUAACUCCGUGCCAGCAGCCGCGGUAAUUC
rnacentral:rRNA from 1 species